rnacentral:lncRNA from 1 species
AUGGAGCGGCGUCCUAAGACAGAGCGGUGUCCUAAGACAGAGAGGUGUCCUGCGAUGGAGCGGUGUCCUGAGACAGAGCAGCGUCCUGAGACAGAGCAGCGUCCUGCAACAGAGCGGUGUCCUGAGACAGAGCAGGGUCCUGAGACAGAGCAGCGUCCUGCAACAGAGCGGUGUCCUGCGACAGAGCGGUGUCCUGAGACAGAGCAGGGUCCUGAGACAGAGCAGCGUCCUGCAACAGAGCGGUGUCCUGCAACAGAGCGGUGUCCUGCGACAGAGCGGUGUCCUGAGACAGAGCAGGGUCCUGAGACAGAUUGUAGUCCUGCGACAGAGCAGCAUCCUGCGACAGAGCAGCGUCCUGCGACAGAGCAUCGUCCUGCAACAGAGAGGUGUCCUGCGACAGAGCGGUGUCCUGAGACAGAGCAGCGUCCUGAGACAGAGAGGUGUCCUGAGACAGAGCAACGUCCUGCAACAGAGCAACGUCCUGCCACAGAGAGGUGUCCUGCGACAGAGAGGUGUCCUGAGACAGAGCGGUGUCCUGAGACAGAGCAGUGUCCUGAGACAGAGAGGUGUCCUGAGACAGAGCAGCGUCCUGAGACAGAGCGGUGUCCUGAGACAGAGCAGCGUCCUGAGACAGAGCGGUGUCCUGAGACAGAGCAGUGUCCUGAGACAGAGAGGUGUCCUGAGACAGAGCAGCGUCCUGAGACAGAGAGGUGUCCUGAGACAGAGCAGCGUCCUGAGACAGAGAGGUGUCCUGAGACAGAGCAGCGUCCUGCAAGGAUGUGGUGUCCUGAGACAGAGCAACGUCCUGAGACAGAUCGUAGUCCUGCGACAGAGCAGUGUCCUGCCACAGAGAGGUGUCCUGAGACAGAGCAACGUCCUGCAACAGAGCAACGUCCUGCCACAGAGAGGUGUCCUGCGACAGAGAGGUGUCCUGAGACAGAGCAACAUCCUGCAACGGUGUGGUGUCCUGCGACAGAGAGGUGUCCUGCAACAGGGCAGUGUCCUGUGACAGAGGUGGUCUGUGACACAGAGAGUUGUUCAGCGAUAAAGUGA